UGGAGGUGGCAUUUUUGUUCCUAUGCUUACUUUGCUUCUUGGAUUUGAUACCAAGUCUGCUGCUGCUAUUUCCAAAUGUAUGAUAAUGGGGGCAUCAGCAUCAUCAGUUUGGUACAAUUUGAGGGUACCACAUCCAUGCAGAGAAGCACCUAUUCUUGAUUAUGAUCUGGCCCUAUUGUUUCAGCCCAUGCUCAUGUUAGGCAUCACAGUUGGUGUUUCUCUCAGUGUUGUUUUCCCCUACUGGCUCAUCACUGUCCUCAUUAUCAUCCUCUUCAUGGGCACUUCAUCAAGAUCAUUUUUUAAGGCCAUUGAGAUGUGGAAAGAAGAAACAAUUCUCAAGAAAUCGACGAAAGAAGUUCCAGUUAAUUCACGUGGUGAACUUGUUAUUGAUACAGUUUAUGAGCCAUUGGUCCCUAAGGAGGAGAAAACCGCACUGGAAAUUUUCAAGUUCAAUCUUAAUUUGAAGAGAAUUCUGGUGCUCUUUGUAGUAUGGUUCGUGUUUCUGCUUCUUCAAGUGUUCAAGAAUGAUCUAGUGGCUUGUACGCCAUUGUACUGGGUGCUCAACUUAUUACAGUUUCCAGUAGCACUGGGGGUGUUCGGAUAUGAAUGUGUGAAAUUGUACAAGGAGAGCAAGAAGAGGAGAUUAGAAGGGAACCAAGAGUCAGUAUGUGAGGCUGACAUUCAAUGGACCGCCACAAACCUUAUAUUUUGUGCGCUUUGUGGUAUAUUGGGAGGCACUGUUGGAGGAUUGCUCGGAUCUGGUGGUGGAUUCAUUCUUGGCCCUCUUCUUCUUGAGAUUGGAGUCAUCCCUCAGGUAGCUAGUGCGACUGCGACAUUUGUGAUGAUGUUCUCGUCAUCUUUAUCAGUUGUGGAGUUUUAUCUUCUCAAGAGAUUCCCAAUUCCUUACGCUCUAUACCUCAUGAGUGUAUCUAUUCUUGCUGGAUUUUGGGGACAAUGCUUCAUUAGAAAACUUAUCACGAUUUUAAAGCGUGCAUCAAUCAUCGUGUUCAUACUCUCUGGUGUCAUUUUCGCCAGCGCUCUCACAAUGGGGGUGAUUGGUAUAGAGAAGACCGUUCGUAUGAUCCACAAUCACGAGUUCAUGGGGUUCUUGGAUUUCUGCAGCAGUCAGUAAUUCUGUGUUUCGACUAGAAAAUAUAUACAUGUAAAGAGCAGCAGCAGCAGAAUAAGAGUUGUUGGCCAAUGCCUAAUUGACCAACCAUUUGAAGAAGUACAGUACAGUAGUAUAUCAUCGAAAAACCGGGUAAUUUGCUUGUGUGUUAGCUAGCGCUAACACCAACAUCAUCCAUUUUUCUUACAAAGUAAGAUGUUAGUGUGACUAUUUGUCUGUGAGUUAGCUAGCGCUAACGCCAGCUAUAGCCACGUCUAUUUUUCCAUUUAUUUGCUGUUAAAAUAUUGUGCUUGGGGUUCACUAUGCUUGUGACUGAGUGUUAGCUAGCGCUAACACCAGUGCAUCGUUUACAUUUGCUUUAUUUUUGUGUGAUUGAACUGGUUCUGUCUGAGGGUUAGCUAGCGCUAACGCCAACAGAAUCAUCAUCCACCACCACCACCACCAUUUGUAUUUUUACCAUGUUAUAUUGGUCAGUUGAUGUGGAAUGAAGUUUAUGAUUCG
rnacentral:misc_RNA from 1 species